UUACUCUAGAAGCAGAAGCAGUUUCACUCUGCUCUCACAGUCCAUCCUGCAAAGAGGCACAGUGUUGCUGCUCUGUGAUUUGAAGGAGCAAUACCCAUGGCUUCAGCAGCCUACACUCUGCUCAUCACCCUGUGUAAUGUUUGGAGCUUGAUUAAUGGAGCUGCUGUGGCUGUCCCAGAUGUUGCUGUGACAUGCUCUGAAGAAGCUCUGCUGCCCUGUAAAGUUCUUCAGGAUUCCUCGAUCACCUACCAGGCAGUGUCUUGGUACAAAAUGGCUGGAGUUGGUGACAGAAUAACAUGGAAAAUCCUUGAUGUGGAAUCUCAUUAUCCAAAAGGACUUGGAGGCUCCCUGGAGCUCUCCAACAACACCUUUCAACUGAGGAUCAGAAAUGCCACCAGCCAAGACAGUGGCACAUACAAGUGCACUUUGGGGGAGCAGAGAGGAGAUCGCAACCUGAGUGGCAUCAUCACAUUAAAAGUAACAGGUUGCCCUGGAAUAGAAGAUGAAAAACUGAAAAAAUACAAAACGGAGCUUUUCAUGCUGACUUGCCUUGGGAUUUUUUACUUGUUGCUCAUCUUCUUUACCUGUACAUGCCUAAGAAAAGAGAUUUCGUCUCCCAGUGAUAAAAACAGAAGAGAUUCAAAACACACUCUCACUCUCAUCAACACACAUGAAAUGACGACGUUUCGGGUUUUAAACAGUGGCAGCACGUGCAAAAGUGGACUUACUUCAAGUUCUAUCUGAGCUGGCACUGUUGAUGGCACUGUAGGCUCAUCAGUGAACACAUGACAUGAGAUGGAUAGCGGAGAAGGAAGAAAUGGUGACUACUUCAAGACUACCCAGCAGUAUGGGUAACCUGUCAGUGAUGCGCUUGUUCUGGACAAGCCUUCAAAAAGCACCAUUAUGCACUACAGUAACUUCCUGGUGCUAGGUGGCUAACAAAUACCACUGCAGCUACACAGUUGUGUUACAAUGCUGUUAAGAAGUUGGUACCAACAUUUUUCACUCUGCCAUGCAGCGCUGUUGUUCUGAGCAAGAUGGACUACUCCUGCGAUGUGAAGAUCAGGUAGUAGGGGUACCAUGGCAGUGCAAAGGCUGGAGGUUAAGCUUGUCAGUGAACUAACCAGUGUGUGAAGAGCCUACUUCCUGCUGUUGUCCUGGAUGAAUCAAAUCAACAUCUGUUUUUAAAUGUGAGAGUGACAGAUAAGCUGAAAUGUAGGAAGGAAGAAAAUAGUUGGAAAAUCUUUCUGGACUGAGAAGAAUUUCCUAUCUCUGCAAGAGAAUAGGGAUGCACUUGCAUAAUGGGUCCAUCAGACAUUUUCUAGAGGCAUCUCGAGAUAGGUUCAUCCAUAAGAGGCUUCUAUACAACUGUUAACUUUAAAGAAGUAAAAAUAAGAGGGAAGCAGCGUGCAGUUUUAAGGACAUGCAAAGAUGACUUUCUUCAUGGUUUGUAAAACACAAAGUCAACUAUAUGAAAUGAAGCCUCUAUCAAUCAAAUUACAGCAGUAAUGACCAAGGAAGAAACAGACCAUCUCUAUCUUUGAGAUGUAUUGAGUCAGUCGUGGAGAUACAGGAACAGAAGAUGGGGGAAAUAAACACCAGCUUUCAGUGCUAACAGUGUGUAGUUUAUGUGAAACAAGGCUACGAGAGAAGCCGAACUCAGGCACAUGAUGCAAGGGUGAGAAGACUUGUCAUUUUGGGCUGAAGAGGGCAAGAGUUACUUUGGAGGCUGAAAUUAAGUGACCUCCUUUACAGUGCUGCUGGUGAAGCAAGUAGAGUCUAGAGAGACUGUGGAUGUCUAUGCCACCAUAUGAGGAUUUGCACCAUAACAUGAGAAUUUGCAAACACAUGAGAACACAAUCAGUACCUCCUACAAAACAAGCCAGUCAAGCUUGAGAAGAAACAAAAACCCUUUGAAAGCUAAACUGCAGCAUUAGGAUUAUUCAGCGCAGUUUGGAAUUCCAGGCUGUGACAAGGAGGCUCUUUCCAUAAUCCUUUGACUAAUUUUGCAGCGAUGAUGGGAGGAAAGCACGGUGCAUCACUCAGCAGCGUCUCUGUGAGCGGGGUAGAUGUCUACGUUAAUGAAAUCCAAGGGGCCUCUGACCAGAAGAAUGGUUGCAAGAGCCAAACUGUCUGCAAGGCAGAAGACUGGGCUUCAACAAGCUACAACACCAUGAGUCGAAUUUCAGGAUCAGAAGUUUCAGGCUGGCUGAUUCUGGAGAUUUGCUGCAGGCCCCGCUGUGCUGUAGAGGCGAUUAUGUU